AGCAGCCGCGGUAAUUCCAGCUCCAAUAGCGUAUAUUAAAGUUGUUGCAGUUAAAAAGCUCGUAGUUGAAUUUCGGGAUCAGUUGGUCGGUCGUGCCUCGGUACGUACUGGUCAAAUUGAUUCCUACCUUCUGACGAACCACGAUGUCAUUAAGUUUGGUGUCGUGGGGUAAUCAAGGACUGUUACUUUGUAAAAAAUUAGAGUGUUUAAAGCAGGCUCGCGCUUGAAUACAUUAGCAUGGAAAUAAUGAAAUAGGACGUUUGAUUCUAUUUUGUUGGUUUCUAGGAUCGACGUAAUGAUUAAUAGGGAUAGUUGGGGGCAUUAGUAUUCAAUUGUCAGAGGUGAAAUUCUUGGAUUAUUGAAGACUAACUACUGCGAAAGCAUUUGCCAAGGAUGUUUUCAUUAAUCAAGAACGAAAGUUAGGGGAUCGAAGACGAUCAGAUACCGUCGUAGUCUUAACCAUAAACUAUGCCGACUAGGGAUCGGAUGAUGUUAAUUUUUUAAUGACUCAUUCGGCGCC
rnacentral:misc_RNA from 1 species